UUUUGGGUCUUUUGGUUCAGAGUACAUGAAAUCAUUCUCUCACUACGUUUCUUUCCUAUUAUUCCUGUAGGGUUUUGCAAUCCUCUUUUCCUUUUAUCUAUAGUGAAUGUAGCAUUUUUCAAAAGCUGUUCUUUUAUUGUUUUUCGCUUUUCUUUUUCUUUCUUUUCAUGUUGUUGUUGUUUUUCUUUUUUUUUCUUUUUUUUCUUUUUUUUCUCUUUUUUUUAUACGACAUUCACUUACUAUUCACGUACUGCAAAGCUACCCCAAACUUAAAGGUUGCUAUUCCAACAGCAACCCCAAACUUAGAUAGAAACGUAUAGAUGAAAUCAAUCCUCACAUACUCUGAAC
rnacentral:lncRNA from 1 species